AACUAUCCAAAAAUUCAUUUGCUUUGAGUCUGGGCUAUCAGAUAAAUAACAUGGAUAUGCCAGUGAACUUUGGACAAAGGCGUGAGACGUACAAAUCAAUUCAGAACUCCAUCGACAACCUGUUGAACAUCAUUCUGAGCAAACCUGGUGCAAAUCUUUCCAUCUUUCCACAAGCAAAAUAUAUGUACGCGCCUAACCAGAUUAAUGCAACUGUGGAGUACGUCUAUCGGCAAGAUGACAUCAAACGGCCAAGCAAAUUCUUGUCUGCGAUACUGACAAUUAGUGGUAGGUUGCUCAAAAUACACAAAACAGCUGUUGAAAAG